rnacentral:rRNA from 1 species
UACAGAGGUCCCGAGCGUUGUUCGGAUUUAUUGGGCGUAAAGGGUGCGUAGGUGGCAAAGUAAGUUGGAUGUGAAAUCCUGGGGCUCAACCUCAGAAUUGCAUUCAAUACUGCUUAGCUAGAGAGCUGUAGAGGAGACUGGAAUUUACGGCGUAGCAGUGAAAUGCGUAGAUAUCGUAAGGAACGCCAGUGGCGAAAGCGAGUCUCUGGGCAGCAUCUGACACUGAGGCACGAAGGCCAGGGGAGCAAACGGG